rnacentral:hammerhead_ribozyme from 1 species
AUCCAGCCGACGAGUCCCAAAUAGGACGAAACACGUGUCAAAUUGGAU